rnacentral:sRNA from 1 species
UCAGCUCCAGUUGGAGUGUAGACAAGUUCAGAGCAGAUUCAAGAUUUGAUUGAUCUUUGCUUCAGAACCCAUCCUGUGAGAUUUCACAGGGUAAAGGCAAGGUGUGGGACAGUGUAAAAGCUGAGGGGAAGAGGGAGAGUAACUGAGAACUGCCAGAGAGUCUUUUGUGCUGUGCUGCAACACAGGAAAAGGCUGGAAGACACAAACUCCUUCUGGCCUGCCACACUCAAUAGGAGGAAGCCAGGAAGCUGUGUCAACUUCAAGGAAGGUUUCCUGAUGUCUUUCACCUUUUAGAAGAGAAUCCUUGCCAUCCAGUUAGUGAUGAGAACAUCCUGAAUGCGUAGAUGUGGAAGAUAAUGUGUACUCCAGGAAUAGGACCCAGAGGCCCCUGAGCUAUAACUACCCGGAUGCCACCUUCCUGAGGACUCUACCACAUGGACACCAUGCAAGAUUCCAGAGGAGAGAGGCAACCAAAAGCCGUUACCCCACUGUUAUGCCCAUAAACGACAUGGCACAUGAAAUUGCUAUAGCUGGGACAAUGACUUUUGGAACCACAGCUACACUUCAGAAGCAAGCAGGUGGGGUUGCAGUGCUGUUUCUCCCAAGGGUCUGUGCAAGGCAGCCUGGCUUCCAAGAUAGUAGUCUGGCUUCCAAGAUGGCGGCCUGGCUUCCAAGAAGGUGGCCUGCCAUACUCUCUGGCUCAUACUUUCUGCUCACUCUAGCCGAAGCACCAGGAAAGGUCUGUCAGCUCUCGAUUAAGGAGUUAAAUGCUCUAGCUCCCCCAAACCUAUUUUAUUGAAAUAGGUUUUAUUGACGUUAAAAGGGAUGCUUACGAUAAAGGCCCACCUUUAAUAUUAACAUUGUUUUAUUCUUAGUCUAAAACCUUGGAAGUGAACUGGGUAACUUUAUCACGGAAACUUGAAAAGAAAAGGUUCAUUUUUCUCACGGCUUUGAGUUUUUUCCUUCUUCUUUUUGGCUUUAGUAGGGACUCACCCAGGCUGAAUCAUGUGACGGCAGAUGGGACCCUGGCAUAAAUCCUGUGUGCAAACAACCAAUGGUGAAUCAGGAAGCUGGAGAGUAGGAGGGGUCACAGUCACCCUUCUAUAACAUUCCUCCUGGUAACUAGCCAGUGCCCCUCAAGAAUUCCUGCAGCUUCUUUCAAAGGCGAUGCUUCUUACUGAUGACUUGGUCACCUCCCAGCGUCCUUUGCUUUUCAAGUGCUCCAACACUUGCAGAGCAGAUGAAGCUUCUAAAUGAUGAACUUUGGUAGACACGGAUAAUUUCCAAACCAUGUGCAGAGAUGUUGGUUUUACUUUUCCCAUCCAAUCUGAUCGUCUAAAGAGAACACCCAGCGACCAGCCCUACUAUCUCUGUGAAUUCGUGUCUAGCCAUUUCUCUUCCUGUAAUACUUCAAGUGGGCAUUCCAGCAAGACUGUCUGCACAGAGGACAUUGAGCACUGGCAGAUUUUUCAGACAGUUGUUUGACCAGCCGAGACAUGGUAGCAUAGGUGGCAAAAAUGGCUGGCUGGGGACUUGAGUUUGCCAAUAUUUUCAAAUAAUCAGCUAGAGUUAUGAAACUUGAGCUCAGUGUUUGAAGAAUAACUUCCUCCCAGGAACUGACUUUGGGGCCGGGUUUUGGGCUCCAGCCAAAUUUCUGAGUAAGCCGAAUUGUGCCAGAAACAUCAGGAUUCCUGGUCAUGGGGUUUAGAAGGGGACCUUGUAGAAGGGCAGGAAUGUGACCCAGCACCACCAGGGGCUCUUCUGAAAGGGACACUCUGUACGUAGUGUGACACACCGAUAGGUUUCCUGAGGACAAUGAGCCCUGCCCUAGAGUCUGGAAAGCUUUGCUGCUGCCUUAGGAAAGUAAGUUUUAUGCACUGACUCACUUCCACACUUAUAAGAUGUGUUCUUUGAAUACUUAGAAAGAAAUUGGAAGCUGGAUGUAAUGUUCUAAUGACUUACAUGGAGAGUGAAUAGAAUAGAGUCUUUCCUGAUUCCCUUGGGGGACUGUCUCCUCCUUAAUGGUUGGUUGGUUGAUUUUUCCCAAAGGGCAGGCAUGAUUCAGGUGAAGUAAGUCUCAAUGCACCCCCUCCUCCUUGUC